UUCGUCCAAGUGAAGCAGAGGACAGUGGCGGACGGGUGAGUAACGCGUGAGGAACCUGCCUUUCAGAGGGGGACAACAGUUGGAAACGACUGCUAAUACCGCAUGAUGUAUCGGGAUGGCAUCUUCCUGAUACCAAAGAUUUAUUGCUGAAAGAUGGCCUCGCGUCUGAUUAGAUAGUUGGUGGGGUAACGGCCUACCAAGUCGACGAUCAGUAGCCGGACUGAGAGGUUGAACGGCCACAUUGGGACUGAGAUACGGCCCAGACUCC
rnacentral:rRNA from 1 species